UUCCUCCUACCACACAACAGAAAAUUGGGAGCACACACAGCUCAAAUCCAGGUAGAAUAUAGUUCUCGAUUGUGUGAAUGACCUUGAUGACUGGCCCAGGACUGGUCCUAGUGAGCUUCCUGGCUGAAUGGUGAUUUGAACCUGUGUCUCUUUGUUCCUAGACUGACACUCUAACCAUUAAAUCAUACAAUUAUUUUUAUUCUAUUUAUUUAUUUAAAAUAUUUCUAUACUGCCCAAAACUUGUAUCUUUGGGCAGUUUACAAUUAAAAUCAUUUAUAACAUCAAAUCAAUUAACAAUUAAAAUCAUUUAAAACAUGAAAAACAUUUAAAACCUGGCAUUAAAAAUUUUAAAACUAUAAAUCUAAUUAAAAGCCUGGGUGAAUAAAUGUGUCUUCAGUGCCUUUUUUAAAGGUUGCCAGAGAUGGGGAGGCUCUUAUUUCAACAGGGAGUGCAUUCCAAUGUCCAGGGGCAGCAACAAAGAAGGCCCGUUCCCAAGCAGCUGCCAAAUGAAUUGGUGGUAACCGCAGACGAGCCUCUCUAGGUGAUCUUAACAGGUGGUGGGGCUCAUGGCGAAGAAGACGUUCUCUUAAAUACCCAGGGCCUAAGCCGUUUAGGGCUUUACAGAUCACUCAGAGACCAACCUGGCCACCGCAUUCUGGACCAAUUGCAGUUUCCAAACUACAUACAAAGGCAGCCCCACAUAGAGCACACUGCAGUAAUCCAGCCUAGAGGUUACCAGCAUAUGUAGCACCAUCCUGAAGUCGUUCAUCUCAAGAAACGGAUGCAGUUGGCGUAUCAGCCAAAGCCAACAAAAAGCACCUCUGGCCACCGCCUCAACCUGGGACACUAAGGAGGAAAAUCUGCACACAACAUGUUCACUAGAAAUCUGCCAGGCCAUAAAAUGAAGAGGAUGAGGAAAGCCAACAUUUACUAAAUAAACACAUGCUGGACAAACUACAUCAGAAAAAGUCUGAAACUGCUUUGUGUGGAAUUCACCGAUGCUUUCAAAUCAACGGUUAGAAUGUUUGUCUCAAAAUUUUAAAAAAUUAACCAUAAAGCCAAUAUACAAACACGUAAAAGGAAUGGAGAAAACUCAAACAUCAGUCAGAAGACUACAAUAAACCAGCAGAGAUGGAAAGUCUUUUGAUUGUGGAGGCUUAAUGACAGAAUGUGACACCUUGAACUGCAUGGGUUUCUAAGAGAGCUCUAGGCACAAUUCAGCAUGAUGGACUUGACCUAAAAGAAGUCAAAAAUGUUCUUGGCUUUCCAGGUUUAGCACCAGUUAUUGACAUCAUCUGUCAGGUGUCUACUGGGCAACUCCCAACUGGAGCCCCCAUAGUAUGUUAGUGUCCCCCUUUAUACGUUUAUACUACUUCAUACGAAAUCUGGAUCAGCACUGCUGUGUCUAGGGAAAGAAAAGUGCUUUCUGUGCUACUCUCAAAGGGGUUGUGUGAAUGUAGACAGAAGGUUUGCUGCUGAGGAAUCAGCUCCUAGACAUGUUGUCUGAUGACACCAUGACAAAAGCAGGACCCGACAGUAUUGGAAUGCGGGCAGUUCCACUUGCCACGUAUCUCCUGGUAUGUGGAACUACGGAGGCAUAUAUUUUGAUAGUAAUUUGCUUCUAGUCUGAGAGAAAGCAGAAAUCAUAUUGAAAUUCUCCAGGCAGCUUUGUGGCAACUUGAGUUUUAAACUUGACUGUGAAACAGCAGACGUUUUCACAGGCAUUCCUGAGAUGCAGCUGAAUGGUUUAAAUCACUAAACUGUUUUUCUGAGUCUGGGAUGCUGAGGUUUUGGCUGCUGCUUUCAUUGCUUCUCUCAUUCAGAUGAAUGUGCAGCCAAAGUUUAAUACAGUGUCAUAAUAUUUCCUACCGCUCCCUUUAUAUUACCAUGCCUUCAGAGAGCCUGGCUGAAAUCUGUACCCUUGAAAAACUCUUCUCUCUGGGAUAGAAGAGAUGAUCUUUCAGAUUUCAAGGCAUUCUCAUUUAUGCUUGGCAUUAAAUUAAGACUCCUCUGCUAUCCUUCCUUCUGGGUGACCUUUCCAGACUAUAUAAUUAGAAUUCAGGAAACAAAACCUCAGGCUCCAGAUGUGACGUUAGAAGCUAAAACAACUGCAGUUGGGUAGCUUUCCUUCCUACCUUGAUUCUAUACCAUCACUUCUCCCUCCUCCUACCUAGUAGUUUGCAUUGCAACCAAAAAUUGGGAGCAGACACAGCUCCUAAACCUGGUAGGACCCAGUUUUUGGUUGUGUGAAUGACCUCAAUAUAUAUCACGAUGAAAUGUUAAAAACGUUCUUCACAAUAAUUUACUGCUCCCCCAUCCUUCCCUCCAGGUCUUUCCUUUCCUCUUUAGUUUCUCCCUUCCCAGAAUAAGAGCACUUGAAGAGCAUUUCCCUUCUGUUUUUUCUGGACGAGGAAGCAGGAACGGUUGGGAGAUGUAGGCCCUUAGGCCUUCACAUGAAGCACUGGCUGGCAAGGAUCAGGAGAGGGACGGAGCUGCCCCUCUUCCCAAUACUCCUCCUCGUAAGGCUGUUCACACAAGCAGCCCUACCCAGGCUUGCACAGCCCUGCCUGUACAGGGCUGCUCAUGUGAAGUGCCGGGAUCAGCGCCAAUUCCGGAGUUGCCUUGCUGGGUAGCCCGGGGUUUUUCCUCUGGCUUUUGCUGAGGUGAGAGGACUCACCCUGAGCAGACACAGAGCUGGGUGCCUAGAGCGCCUAGCUCAUGGAGGAAUCCCUCAAUGCACCGCACUUGUUGCACAAUGCAUUGUGGGAUUUCUGGAGGCCAGGCAGCAUUUCCCUGGCCAUCAGAACAUCAUGCACCUCGCAAAAGUGCUGGUUGUGUGGGCGCGUGAGCCGCACUGCCCAGGACCAUGCCAGAUUGUCUGUGGGGGGAGGUAAGUGCUACCCUGCCUUCCCCCACUCCCUCCCUCACUCCCCGGCACUCUCAAAGAUUGUGUGAAUGGCCUCUGUGUCUGACAUUGGCACACACACACCAUUUACAAUGCUGCCAGAGGGAGCAUGUCCUCAGCCACUGGUGAGCUUUGCCCCACUCCCAGAAAAUGUCUUGUGGAUGCAUAUGUACAGUAUACACAGGUACAGAUCUGUAUGCAGGUACAGUUAUUCACCUGUUGCUGAACUCAGGUGCCCCUGAAAUGAAUGCCUCUGUGCAGUCAUUCACACAAAAACAUGUAUGUGUGAACAGAUAUCUGAAUGCAGAUACAACAUAAUAAGCUGUUUCUCACAACAGUUCCGGGGGUGGGGGAGGCAGGGCACAACCUACCUCCCCGUGCCCCACCCACGGUCCUUGCCACUCCGCGAUCGCUCACACUGCUUGCCCACAUGACCAGCGUGUGAGCAAUCAACAAGUGGCACGGGGGCGGGGGGAAGCAGGCUGUGUCCUUCUGCAUCCCACAAUGCAUCGUGUGAGGAGUGCAGUGCUUUGGGGGAUUCCCUGCUGCCAGGCGCUCAUAUGACUGAUGAGUGGGUCAAAGGGUGCACUACGCCUUCCUACCUCACUAUAAGUCCAGGUACAAAGCCCAGGCUACCCCAGUGAAAAGCACCAGGAUCAGUCCCAAUCCUGGUGUGUAACACGAGCAGUCCUACUCAGGUAGGGUUGUGCAAGUCUGGGUGGGGUUGCUCGUGUGCACAACCUUAAUUGUAAAGCUUUUGUACUUUGUGUUUUGCUGGUCGAAUGACCGUAACAAUAAAGAUUUAAGAUUUAA